rnacentral:rRNA from 1 species
UACGUAGGGUGCAAGCGUUGUCCGGAAUUAUUGGGCGUAAAGAGCUCGUAGGCGGUCUGUCGCGUCGGAUGUGAAAAUCCAGGGCUCAACCCUGGACCUGCAUUCGAUACGGGCAGACUAGAGUUCGGUAGGGGAGACUGGAAUUCCUGGUGUAGCGGUGAAAUGCGCAGAUAUCAGGAGGAACACCGGUGGCGAAGGCGGCAUCCUGGACCGGCAUUGACGCUGAGGCGCGAAAGCUAGGGGAGCAAACGGG